rnacentral:rRNA from 1 species
GCCAGCAGCUGUAUCAUCCUGCAGCUCACAACUGGCCGCCCACUGAAGCUAAGUAGAUGUGAGCCUGGUCAGUAUCUGGAUGGGAGGCCUCCUGGGAAAGCUAAGAUUGCUGCUGGAA